CGACCCUAGUGUGGAAAGGACUCAGAAUUAAUACCAUCCAAUUGGGUUUUUAAAAUGAAGCUACAAUUUUGUUGACACACAAUGUUGAAAUCAAGAUUGUGAACUCCUUCAUCUUCGUCCUCUUUGCCAUGUAAGGAUCAGAUCCAGUGUCCCCAUCUUUCUCUACAACAUUUCUUUGUGAGAGGAGUGAGCAUAUGAGCAAAGAGGUCAAGACCACGAUGGGUUCACCCACUGACGCAGUCUGCCUGGGCUAAUGGCAGUUCACCA